CAUCGUUUUUUUUUUCUUUCCUGGUGUAAAAUCCUGUAAAUGUUAAACUUGUAAAUAGUUAAAUAUAAAAUACUUGCGUUCGCUGAUUAUUUAAUUGGAUAUGAAUUGAACAUAUUUGGCAACUUUAGAAGAUGAGCACGUGAUCGGUGGGGGAGGGGAGCAACGGUUAGCGUCUGAUACCAGAGAAAAGUCUCUGUGAAUAAAACGGAUAUUAUCUCAAAUAUAAUCUCGAUUACAGAUUGCAGAUAACGAGGAUAUGAAGAACAUGAAGAUGGACUGGUUUCACAUGCAGAUGUUGCAGCAUCUGCAUCUGAGGUUGAGAAGACACUCAAUCUACCUGCCAAUCCUCAUCUGAUUUUGCUAGGUUAGUGUGUCAUUGCACAUGAUGAAGAAGAAACAUCUACUGAUGGCUGAGAUAUAAAAUUGUUAAC